CAACACACCGACAUGAUGAUGGCCUUAUUACAAAAACUAGGUUUUGUAAUCAACAUUCAGAAAUCGGACCUGGAACCUUCUCAGAGGGUUCAGUUUCUCGGAUUUCUAAUAGACUCCGUACAGGCGAUUUUACAACUACCUUCUACAAAGGUCAAGACUAUAAAGAAAGACAUUCGCUAAUUGCUAUCGGCCCACCAGAUUCGCCUACGCGAUCUGGCUCAUACCAUAGGCCUACUGUCCCC